rnacentral:rRNA from 1 species
AACGAACGCUGGCGGCGUGCCUAACACAUGCAAGUCGAACGAGAAAGGGGCUUCGGCUCCGAGUAAAGUGGCGCACGGGUGAGUAACACGUGGGUAACCUGCCUCUAAGAUUGGGAUAACUCGUCGAAAGAUGAGCUAAUACCGAAUAAGACCACAGUUCCUGCGGGAACAGGGGUCAAAGGUAGCCUCUGCUUGCAAGCUAUCACUUAGAGAUGGGCCUGCGCACCAUUAGCUAGUUGGUAGGGUAACGGCCUACCAAGGCCAAGAUGGUUAGCUGGUCUGAGACGAUGAUCAGCCACACUGGAACUGAGACACGGUCCAGACUCCUACGGGAGGCAGCAGUGGGGAAUAUUGCGCAAUGGGCGAAAGCUUGACGCAGCAACGCCGCGGGAGUGAUGAAGGCCUUCGGGUCGUAAAGCUCUGUCGGGAGGAACGAAUGCUCCUGAGGUUAACAGCCUCGGGAGGUGACGGUACCUUCAAAGGAAGCACCGGCUAACUCUGUGCCAGCAGCCGCCGUAAGAC